CUACGGGGUGCAGCAGUGAGGAAUUUUGCGCAAUGGGGGAAACCCUGACGCAGCAACGCCGCGUGAGUGAAGAAGGCCCUUGGGUCGUAAAGCUCUGUCAAUGGGGAAGAAGUUACUUGGUAUUAAUAGUGCCUUGUAUUGACGGUACCCAUGAAGGAAGCACCGACUAACUCCGUGCCAGCAGCCGCGGUAAUACGGGGGGUGCAAGCGUUAUUCGGAAUUAUUGGGCGUAAAGGGCACGCAGGCGGUCCUGUCAGUCAGAUGUGAAAGCCCGGGGCUCAACCCCGGACGUGCAUUUGAAACAGCAGGACUUGAGUACGGGAGAGGAAAGGGGAAUUCCUGGUGUAGAGGGGAAAUUCGUAGAUAUCAGGAGGAACACCGGUGGCGAAGGCGCCUUUCUGGACCGAUACUGACGCUGAGGUGCGAAGGCGUGGGUAGCGAACGGGAUUAGAUACCCGCGUAGUC
rnacentral:rRNA from 1 species